UACGGGGGGGGCAAGCGUUGUUCGGAAUUACUGGGCGUAAAGGGCUCGUAGGCGGCCAACUAAGUCAGACGUGAAAUCCCCAGGCUCAACCUGGGAACUGCGUCUGAUACUGGAUGGCUUGAAUCCGGGAGAGGGAUGCAGAAUUCCAGGUGUAGCGGUGAAAUGCGUAGAGAUGUGGAGGAACACCAGUGGCGAAGGCGACUCUUUGGCCUGUAACUGACGCUGAGGCGCGAAAGCGUGGGGAGCAAACAGG
rnacentral:rRNA from 1 species